GAUGAACGCUGGCGGCGUGCCUAAUACAUGCAAGUCGAGCGAACAGACGAGGAGCUUGCUCCUCUGACGUUAGCGGCGGACGGGUGAGUAACACGUGGAUAACCUACCUAUACGACUGGGAUAACUUCGGGAAACCGGAGCUAAUACCGGAUAAUAUAUUGAACCGCAUGGUUCAAUAGUGAAAGACGGUUUUGCUGUCCCUUAUAGAUGGAUCCGCGCCGCAUUAGCUAGUUGGUAAGGUAACGGCUUACCAAGGCAACGAUGCGUCGCCGACCUGAGAGGGUGAUCGGCCACACUGGAACUGAGACACGGUCCAGACUCCUACGGGAGGCAGCAGUAGGGAAUCUUCCGCAAUGGGCGAAAGCCUGACGGAGCAACGCCGCGUGAGUGAUGAAGGUCUUCGGAUCGUAAAACUCUGUUAUUAGGGAAGAACAAAUGUGUAAGUAACUAUGCACGUCUUGACGGUACCUAAUCAGAAAGCCACGGCUAACUACGUA
rnacentral:rRNA from 1 species